UGCUCCCAUGGGAUCACCACCAGGCUGGGACGAUUCCCAGCCGGGAGCUCCUGGGGCCGCUCCCUUCUCAAACCCACCCACGCAGCACCCUGUGGCCACGAGCUUUGCGGCUGAAUUUGGCUCUAGGUGAGAAGCAUUUCCACGCUCUCGCUUUCAACCUCCUGCUCGCUAAUUAGGGGACAGGUGGGGAAAUCAGCACAGCACAGCACAGCUCACCUCUGUCUCCCCCCCUCCCGGUGUAUUUUCUGCCCGAACAAAUGGCAGUGGGAAUGCAGCCCAGCUGCAGGGUAUUUCCACCCUGGUAAUUCACAGCAGUUGUGGUUAGGCGCUGUAGUUUGCAUAUAGCGGGGAUAGUUCAAUAGCCAACGGUUGGUACCUUCUAGAAGGCCAUGAGAAAUGUCGUGUCACGUCCCGCGCGGGGAUUAUUUUCAUUAGGGGCUCAGCCAGCAGAUGCCAGCCCCAGAGGUUACCUUUCCAUCACCUGAGAGCAGCUGUAUGGGGAAAAAGUUGCCUUCCUGACAGAGCUCUUCCUCCCUGAGCAUCAUCCGGAGAGGGGGAGCUGGAAGGCGUUGUGGCUGGAUGCUGCUUUGGGUUUUGUCUUAGGAAGAUUUUUCCUGAUUUAAUGAAUGAGCUGCAUUCCUCAGCUGCUGUGCUUGAUUCCGUGCUGUCUGACUGCUUGUUGCUAAAUCGGCGUGGCGAGAGAAGGGAAAAGCUGAGCAGGAAAUAAAGCAGUGAACAACUCAAGAUGCCUCCGGAGAGAAGGUCUGUAAGAGAAGAGGAAACGGUACCAAAGGGGAACUGUCUCACUGGCCUCACCCUUACUUUUGAGGAAGAACGCCUCUGCUCAGCCUCUUUAGCUGCUUGAAGUAGGCUCCUCGGAGUGAAGCAGCUCCCGUGGUCUGACUGGGAUUUAAUGCCCCCGCUGCACUUUGCUGGAAGGACUCGUUAGCCUGCGUUACGGGGCUCAGCAAGGGAACAGAGCCUGCUGAGCUCCUUAGGGUGCCACUCAUCAGCUGUGGUCACUGCUGCAGAGGGCUCUGAGCCUGGCCACAGCGACUUGCCGAGAAGUUCGCCUCUCGAGCUUCUCCUUCCCCUGGGCCAUUCUCUGCUGCUGCAUCCCAGGAGCAUCUUACACCACCUGCAGUGAGAGCUUCGGCCUCGCUGCUUCCAUGCUUUUUGUGUCAGACUGGUCGAGAUCGAGUCUGGCUGAGUGGUCUUGCCUGCAGCAGUUCUGUUGGGAGCUUCCUACAAGCCCCAGGUGCUUGUGUCCUCCCAGCUCGGGGCGGUGGCAGCGGCUGUUUCCGAACUGGAGGCCAGAAGUUUCCUUAAAAUCUUACCACGUGCCACCAUGACUGCAGUGAAGAUGAUGACGAGGUCCAGGGAUGUUAUUAGCAGUUUUAUUAGUAUUUUCCCUCAGGAAAGGGAAAAGUUAAGUGAUGGAAAUGACAUCCCCAGAGCAGCGCAGAUGCCAGCUCUCAGAUGGCUUUUUUCCCCUGUAAAAGCAAAGAGGGAAGGCAGCGAGGAGGCAGUUGCUCUGGGAGGAAAGCGUAGCUGCUUUCAGCCCUACCCUGAGAGGCAUUUGGUAGCAGCCACAGCAAAUCCAGGUUCAGACAGAUGAACGAAAAGAAAACCGUGUAACAAAAGACCUUUCUGUCUCCCCCUGAUUUCUCUUUCCGUGCCUUUAUCUGUCUCACUCAGUUGGUGCCCGUGUUUUUCCCCCUCAGACAGAACUUUCCUCUAACUGCUCAUCCGCUUUAAAUAUUAAUUCCUCUUAACUUUCUUUAAAGACUUCCGUGUAGAGGAUCUUCUUUUGGUUUGACCUCUUUGCUAACCUCAUGUAUUCCUUUAUUUUCUCCCCCUCCUGCCCUUUUGGUCUUUUUCUCCCUGCCGUUAAAUCCCUUUCUCUUUCCCUUUCCGUCUUGCUUGGGUUAAAACUGGAGCACAGAUUGUGUUCGCUGCGCAGGUGAGCUGUCAGCCCCACACCGCAGGAAGCAGGGAACGUGUCGUCGCUUCUUGCAGACCCAAAUGAGCACCAGAGGAAUUACAAAAUUAAAAAAAUAAAUCUUUCAGUCUUCCA